UGAGGAAUUUUCCGCAAUGGGCGAAAGCCUGACGGAGCGACGCCGUGUGUGCGAUGAAGUCUUUCGGGAUGUAAAGCACUGUCAGAGGGGAAGAUAUUGACGGUACCCUCAGAGGAAGGCCCGGCUAACUACGUGCCAGCAGCCGCGGUAAUACGUAGGGGCCAAGCGUUGUCCGGAUUUAUUGGGCGUAAAGGGCGUGUAGGCGGUCCGGUAAGUCAGGUGUCAAAUCUACGGGCUCAACCCGUAAUCGCACUUGAUACUGCCAGACUAGAGAGUGGUAGAGGAAAGCGGAACUUCCGGUGUAGCGGUGAAAUGCGUAGAUAUCGGAAGGAACACCAGUGGCGAAGGCGGCUUUCUGGGCCCCUUCUGACGCUGAAACGCGAAAGCCAGGGGAGCAAACGGG
rnacentral:rRNA from 1 species